GAGUAACGCGUGAGUAACCUGCCUUUCAGAGGGGGAUAACGUUCUGAAAAGAACGCUAAUACCGCAUAAGAUUGUAGUUUCGCAUGGAGCAGCAAUCAAAGGAGCAAUCCGCUGAAAGAUGGACUCGCGUCCGAUUAGAUAGUUGGCGGGGUAACGGCCCACCAAGUCGACGAUCGGUAGCCGGACUGAGAGGUUGAUCGGCCACAUUGGGACUGAGACACGGCCCAGACUCCUACGGGAGGCAGCAGUGAGGGAUAUUGGGCAAUGGGGGAAACCCUGACCCAGCAACGCCGCGUGAGGGAUGACGGUUUUCGGAUUGUAAACCUCUGUCCUCUGUGAAGAUAGUGACGGUAGCAGAGGAGGAAGCUCCGGCUAACUACGUGCCUGCAGCCGCGGUAAUACGUAGGGAGCAAGCGUUGUCCGGAUUUACUGGGUGUAAAGGGUGCGUAGGCGGAUUGGCAAGUCAGAAGUGAAAUCCAUGGGCUUAACCCAUGAACUGCUUUUGAAACUGUUAGUCUUGAGUGAAGUAGAGGUAGGCGGAAUUCCCGGUGUAGCGGUGAAAUGCGUAGAGAUCGGGAGGAACACCAGUGGCGAAGGCGGCCUACUGGGCUUUAACUGACGCUGAGGCACGAAAGUGUGGGUAGCAAACAGGAUUAGAUACCCUGGUAGUCCACACUGUAAACGAUGAUUACUAGGUGUGGGGGGUCUAACCCCCUCCGUGCCGGAG
rnacentral:rRNA from 1 species